rnacentral:tRNA from 1 species
GGGGCUGUGGCUUAGUGGUAGAGCAUCUACUUAGCAUGCAGAAGGUCCCAGGUUCAAUCCCUGGCAUCUCCA